rnacentral:rRNA from 1 species
CUAUGCGCCUUGCCAGCCCGCUCAGGUGUGCCAGCCGCCGCGGUAAUACAGAGGGGCAAGCGUUAUUCGGAAUUACUGGGCGUAAAGGGCGCGUAGGCGGCCUGCUAAGUCGAACGUGAAAUCCCUGGGCUCAACCCAGGAACUGCGUCCGAUACUGGUUGGCUUGAAUCCGGGAGAGGGAUGCGGAAUUCCAGGUGUAGCGGUGAAAUGCGUAGAUAUCUGGAGGAACACCGGUGGCGAAGGCGGCAUCCUGGACCGGCAUUGACGCUGAGCGCGAAAGCCAGGGAGCAAACGGG